rnacentral:rRNA from 1 species
GUGUUUAGGGGUGAAAGGCCAAUCAAGCCGGGAAAUAGCUGGUUCUCCGCGAAAACUAUUGAGGUAGUGCCUCGGACGAAUACCCUAGGGGGUAGAGCACUGGAUGGAUGCGGGGGUCGCGAGAUCUACCAACUCUAACCAAACUCCGAAUACCUAGGAGUACUAUCCGGGAGACAGACGGCGGGUGCUAAGGUCCGUCGUCAAGAGGGAAACAGCCCUGACCUACAGCUAAGGUCCCCAAGUCGUGUCUAAGUGGGAAAGCAUGUGGGAAUCCCAAAACAACCA